CACGUAGGGGGCGAGCGUUGUCCGGAUUUAUUGGGCGUAAAGAGCUCGUAGGCGGUUUCGUAAGUCGGAUGUGAAAACUCCAGGCUCAACUUGGAGACGCCAUUCGAUACUGCGAUGACUUGAGUCCGGUAGGGGAGUGUGGAAUUCCUGGUGUAGCGGUGAAAUGCGUAGAUAUCUGGAGGAACACCGGUGGCGAAGGCGACAUCCUGGACCGGUAUUGACGAUGAGGCGCGAAAGCCAGGGGAGCAAACGGG
rnacentral:rRNA from 1 species